AUACUGAUGUGAAGAUUAAUGUAAUUACUACAGAUAGAUCAAUUAUUUUUCUAAACAUAUAAUGUAUAUUUCGUUAGGCAUUUGAAUAGAUUUUCUCAAACAGAAUAUCAGCUAAAAAGACAGACAAAUUUAACAGCAGGAAGUUUUAAUCCUUUGUAGCAAAAAUAUCUAUUCAUCAAAUUAUUCUAUUGAUUUCACAAGGCAAUACUUUAUUUUUGAAACAGUGUUUAUGAUGUUGGUGUUUCCAUGGCACCUCACUCUAUUGACUUUCCUGACUGGCUAAUUUGACAGAUGAUCUUGUCCCGGGGUGACUUUCUUUCACCGUGCAAAACCAACAAAAGAAGUAAACAAACAGAAAAUGGGCUUAAUGCAUUCCCUCAGCAGGCUACGUUUGAAGAAAUUAUUUUAAUGAGGACCAUAUCCAUAAUGGAUCCAUUAAUUCACCGCAAAAAAAAAUCCUGCACAUGACAAAAAAUGUCAAAGCAUGGUGAUUGAAUCCUCCCCUCAUUCAAAUAGAUUAUGAGAAUAUAAUUUAUGGCCUCAGAGCACCUUCAGGGAAUAAGCUUGGAUACAUGCAUCCAUCAAGCAUUUCCUUGUAUGCCUUGAAUGCAGCACAUGCAGUGUAUGGGUAACUUUCUAAAUGUGAAAUAUGCAGCCACAAAGACAAAUACAGACAAUCAACAAAGCUGGAGCAGGAUAUUGUCCUGGAGUUGACUAAUGUGUGUUUAUGGACAUGCAUAUUAUCAUUAUUUUUUGACUGUUGCAUAUACAGUAGACAUGCUUUGAUCUUAGUAUAAAUUAUAUACCUGUGCAAUUUUUUUCUUGUCUUUAUUAUUAUUAUAAAACAUAUUAAAAUCCUAAUUCACUGCAGUUUCCUGGAUAUGCCGUUGUCCAUUAGUGUCAAAUAUAAUUCACCCUACAUCAGAAGCAAGAGCUUUAUUUCUAGCCAAGCUAGCUGCAUAGCUCUAGGAAUGGCAAUGCCAGUCAUUUGGGUCACCACUUCGGUGUAGACUGAAACAUCUCAACAAUCACCUCAUGGACUUUCUUGCAUUUCCUUUCAGAUAUUCAUGGUGUGCAGAGGACGAAUCCUACUGACUUUGGCAAUCCCUUGACUUUUCCUCGAGGUCGACCACAAGUUUGACAUUAUCUGCUUUUUUAGGGAAAUAUUUGAACAAUUAUGGGAUGGAUUGCUGUUUCAUGUUGCACACAAAUCCAUGGUGUGUAGAAGAUGACUCCGAAUGACCUUGGUGAUCCUCAUGAUUGUUCAUCUAGUGCCACCAGCAGGCAAAAAGUCCAGGUCACUGAUCAACUGAUCUGCACAGGUACAAUAACAAGACGGCUCCGACGUGGAAGAUGUCCACAGAUCAGAGACAAGCACUCCAAUCUUGUUGGUAAUUUUCUCUCACAGCGUAAUACUGAUACAUGACAAAGAGCAGAGUAAGGUGGGGGAAAUAUAGCCUGCCUACAGCACUGAAGCAGCUCUCUAAAUCUCUUUUCAUGUACUGCAUCCAAGGGUCUGAUUUUUCUCUUUGACAAUAAAAUCCAAUCACAAACUAGCCAUCUGCUCGCAUCUCUGAUAAAGUGGGCACUUAACAAAGUUUCAAUUUCAGCUCACCUCUGUAGUUAGACAGAAUGUCUCUGUAAUCAUGAGAGAACAGUUUAACUUGGCUGGCUAGUUAAAGGCAAGAAGACAUGCAAUUAAGUGAAAUAUGAGAAAAUCAUUUUGUGAAGGAUUUGAGAAUAACUGUGCAACAUAUUUUUAUUUCUACAUCUUUAAAACAGAAAGUUCAUGUCAUUUGCCUUACUGUGCUCUAAAAUAUGUUAACAGGGACAUUUUGUUCUGCAUUUCAUGUGUUGUUUCACAUACAGUCUAUUAUUGCAUCGUACAGAUUGUCAUGAUGUCAC